UACGUAGGGUGCAAGCGUUGUCCGGAAUUAUUGGGCGUAAAGAGCUCGUAGGCGGUUUGUCGCGUCUGCUGUGAAAACUCAGGGCUUAACCCUGAGCCUGCAGUGGGUACGGGCAGACUAGAGUGUGGUAGGGGAGAUCGGAAUUCCUGGUGUAGCGGUGGAAUGCGCAGAUAUCAGGAGGAACACCGAUGGCGAAGGCAGGUCACUGGGCCGCAACUGACGCUGAGGAGCGAAAGCAUGGGGAGCGAACAGG
rnacentral:rRNA from 1 species